rnacentral:lncRNA from 1 species
UGCAGGUUAAAUUGGUUAAGUCUGUUACAGAGUCCCUAAUCAUCUGAUCUACCUUGGGACUUUCAGCUUCACUGGUUGCUAGCUCCUUGUCAAUAAGCCCCAGGUUGUGCAAAUUGAGGAUGGAAUCAGCAAUAAUUCGGGCAGUCCUCUUCUGGUAGCCUCCAGAUGUCACCAUCAAGAUUGGGAUUCCACGGCUUCUGGCAGCCUUGAACACGACUUCAUCCCUCUUCACAAUUCCCUGAGGUGAAAUAGCAAGUCCUCCCAAUGGAUCUCCAUCCAGAAUAUCAGUUCCAGCGUUAUAAACAAUAAUGUCAGGUUUUAAUUCAUUUAAUGCUCCUUCCACAUGAGUAUGUACUUUCUGAAGGUAUUCUGUGUCCUCUGUACCCCACUCUAACUCCACCUUCCGUUUUAUGGCACGUUUAGCAAAUCCAUCUCCUGGAUAAAUAUAUCUGUUGUAUGCAUCCAUGAUAUAUACUCUAUGAUCAUUCAUGAAAUCCCUCUCAUGGCCAUUUCCAGGUUGAGAAUGUCUGCACACUUAAAAGGCAUCUGCUGAGCUAGUACUCCAC